AAUGGGUGACUGGUGUAACAUUUAUUUAUUCAUUUGAGUGUUAUAAGCAAAAUAUAGACCAAUGAAUAGUCUUAAAGUAUGAUAUAAGGAAAUAUAUGACGGUUUCACCGAAAUUACUACAUAGAUCAUCAUUAGAAAGCAGUCACUGAACCAUGAAAAUGAGGCCAAGGACAAUUGGCAUAUGACAGACAGACACUUCAUAACAGAAGGUAUCGGUAUUCAAGGUUGAUAGCAACAUAAAUGCAAAUAUGGAAUUUUGUUUAUUAGUUAUCCUGGCGACGGUUGUAAAAGAUGCAAGCGGACAUGCCAAUGAUAUGUUCAUUGAAAAGACAGAAGCAAUCUCAUUCCUUUCUCGUCAAAAGCGCAGUCUAGUACAUGAGUGUGACGAGGGAUGUUCAUUUGAAGAGGUUGAUGAACUAUUUGAAAACCAUUCUAAAAACAGAUUGUGGAUGGUUUGGUACAAAUGUAGACGUGUGACCUGUCCUUCUGGAACACUUUGUAGUAAAACAAACAAUGAUUUCUCACAUAUACACAGACUGAGGGUUCAUUGCGAAGAUAAUAAUGAAUGCAUUACAAGCAACCAUGACUGUAACCAUAUAUGUACAAACACCUAUGGGUCAUAUGAGUGUUCAUGUUACCAUGGAUACCAAUUUCAACAUGACAACAAAACUUGUUUAGAUAUAAACGAAUGUGAGAGCAGCGCAGAUGAUUGCGACCAAACAUGUAUAAAUCUCAAUGGUUCAUAUGAAUGUUCCUGUUAUGAUGGUUAUCUGUUACACAUAGAUAACAAAACUUGUACGGAUUACAACAGAGAUCGCUACCGUUGUAUAGGUAAGAUGAUAAAACUUUACUGGAUAAUACCUCUUCAAUUAGGUUUGCAAUAUUCGUCUACAGAUACCAUCCUAUAUACAAAGAAAACCUCUUUUUCUGACGACUUAGUGGAAACAGAAGUGCUUUUCGUUUAGUUGUCAUUUAAUUGAAGCUAUUCCAGACGUAUGUCCACAUUGCUAUUCAUAUUUAAGAAAUAUAUUAUAAGUUGAUGUAGAAUUUUUAUAUGGAACAGCUGAGUUUAUAAUUCUAACGAUCAGUCAAAAUAUUAAGAUACACACAUUUUGAAAACCAUACUAAGCAGAAAUUCGAAAGGAGAAUACGUAUUUUACAAAAAGGGGGAGAACAUUCAAGGGGGCAAUUAAAAAUCCUUUAUGCAAAUGCAAUGAAAAAAAAUUGUUUCAUAUGAAUUAUAUAUUGUUUGUAUUAAUUAAAUUUUGCUUGCAGGCUUAUUACUCUAAUUUGCUUUUCUUUUAUAUGUGUUUAAUUCGCUUUCAUGUAUAUACAAAGCUUUAAAAUGAAAAUAAAUAUAUUUAUAUAUGUGUCUUUUUAACAACAAUGAAUAAAAAUAAAUUGAGUAGAAUGCAAUUUCAAAAAUUGAGUUAUUUGCAUAUCCUUAUUUACAGAUAUUAGUUAUAUUUGGGGUAAUUUUCAACUUUUAAAAAAAAUAUAUAAUAUACGACAUAUACACAUAAGCUAAAACCAUAUUAAAUAUCUUUUAAUAGUUGUCUGAAUAAUGUGUAUGCCAAAUGCAUUUCGCUCACUAUACACUUGUAAUUCAUCAAAGUUCGUAUCACUCGUACAGCAAUAACAUUUUAAGAAAUCAACAAUCCUUCAUGAUUAUAUAACAUUAUUGGAUUGUGUGUUAAAAAAAAAAUGAAAAUGAACGCAUAAAUCUUUUAUAUAUUAAAGAAAAUGUACCAUUAUUUGUCUUACUAUCUUUACAUGUUUUUUUUAUUAUAUGCAAAACAUCGUAAUUAGAAUUUUUUAAGUGAAGGGAUCUACAAAAUCAAAGACUGUCGGAAAAAAGAAAUAAAUGAGGUAAGAAAUUUCCAACAAUUUUUUACCCAAAAAUAAAGAGGUGGUAUGAAGGGAGAUUUGGUUGCAAAAUUAUUCGAUAGUACUCGAACAGUCAAAAGUAUAAAGAAAUAUACAAAGCAUUUAAGGGGAGUCAAUACAUUUUCAAGGAUGAUAACUGUUUAUGCAAUACUGAACGUACAAUGUCCCAUUGUAACUAGUUCAGUUUAUGCUGACGUCUUAAUAUAUGGUGUUUUUUUCAACAUUUACAGAGGCUUCUUCGUAUAACUUGAAUCUCAAUCAAAUAAAAAGAGUAAAAAAAUAUUCCAAUUUUUCCAGACUUGGGAACUUAGUCAUUCUUCAGCAAAAUUUUCAAAAGAUAGAUGGUAUUUAUUUUGUGUAGUCAACUCCUACUACACUGUUUUAAAACCAUAUCCCUGAAACUUGACAGGAAUAUUGUGUAUAUAUUGAAAUUGUACACCUGCUAAUAUGGAACUGUAUGAGCAUUUUUUUCUUUUUUCUAGACUUAGGAAUUUAGUCAUUUUCCAAAUAACUAAAGAAUAGUAUUGAGGAAUUUUGAAAGAGAAUACAAAUUAUUGUGUUAUCAACUCCUAUUGUUUUCAAUUCAGAUCCCUGAAACUUCUCAGGAAGAUUGCAUAUGUUUUGAAGUUGUGCACCUGCUAUUAUGAGUCUCUGGAAAGCCAAGCAAAACAAAAGGAUAAUUUUAUGUAAUGGACUUAUGUAGAUGAAGAUAUCUCCAAGAAGAGACGCAUUUAGAAGAUGGAACAUUCAAUUGUUAUUGUUAUUAUUUCAACAACUUAUAAAUUUCAUUGUACUGAUUAUAGAAUAUUUUAAAUAUCAAUAUAUUGAAUUCAAUUUUAGGAACUUUGCUUUUGGUAUAUAUUCUGCAACAGACGUGUUUCUUAAGGAGAAUAAAUACUAUUGUGAUAAUUAUGAAAAUAUACCAUUUUCUAAUCUUAAGGAAUUCAGUUUUUAUUUCAUGACUCUAGGCAUUGGCCGUUAUUAAACCCGCAAGGGACAAGACUCUUGCUGAAUCAAAACUGUAUAUAAAAACUAAAGGAAACAUCUAAUAUACUUUGUAGGUUAUCCUUUGUAUAUUAUAUGUAUAUGUCAAUAAAUGUAUUUGUGGAAUUGCAACAA